rnacentral:misc_RNA from 1 species
GCACGCUUGGGGGGUGAAGUGUCAAAUUUAAGUUUUCCUCGGUGUCUUUUGUAAAUAAUAAUAACAAUAGUAGGUUUGUUCUAGUGCAGAUUUUAUAGCUGCUGCUUCUUUACAAGUAGCUACUACCCUGACACUACUAACUUUGUUAACAAAUAUCUCCGAAUAUGCCUAGCCAGAUGGAUUCAUAUUUGGGUAUUCAUUUCAUCAAUCCUCUAGUAAAACUUAAUUUAGUUAAGUU